GGACGAAGGUCUUUCUAACUUGAGCGACGGCCCUUAGGGGAAGCUGAGCGUUUCCAUGUAGAAACUUAGACAGUUAGAGGAAACGUUUACAAAGUGACGGACAGACCAAACAGUUCCUUCUAGUACUUUUUCCGCCUCGGGAUCCCUGGUAUCGGAACGCCCGGACCCGUAGCCACAGUUUCCGCGGAGCGGGGCGGAAGUGAACGCUCCAACGCUUCGCACCAGCUUCCCGGAAGUCUUUGGCACCUAGAAAGACGCAGGCGUGCGUGCGUCCUGGGAAACGCGUGGGCGUGUUCAAAGCGAGCCGCGGUCAUUGCUGCCACAGAACUGAGGCGAGCUUGGUUUAGCGAGGCUGUGCCAGUUCCGGGCUCCUGCCCAGCGCGUCUCCGCCUCCUGGCCUGCGACGUCAGCGGAGCUUGCCUCUGCGCUCUGCGCUUCCCUGCGGACCCCAAGUUCCCUCCAGUAGAGCUCCGUCCUGUUCGGUGACACUGGAAACAACGCUUGGGGCACCGCGGGCAGACAGUGCAAAAAGUUGAGACUUUGGAGGCAAGCGCGUUUUUGUGAACGCUUCAUUUUCCCCUACCACCUGUGCUUGCUUCGAGUAUUAUUUUUAACGAGAUGUACAUUCCUGAAAUAAUUGGAAAAUAUCUUUGAGUUAAGUGUAUUCCUGUGGAAAGCUAGUAAACUCGUACCUUCUAAAAGGCGGAUACUCAUCAAUCCCCAGUAAGCUCUUAAUAGGCUCAUUGUGACAGACUACCAACAAAUUACGAGCAUCGUAAACUCCUUUGACUCUUGUAGUUUCCAGAUGUCUUUGAAGGAUGUAGAACGCCAGCCAAGUGGACAGCACUUGAGUUUAGAGUUGGAAUUUGGGGUUUUGUGGGAAGACGCCAAACUGAUAUUAACACGCAUGAGGAGGCAUCAUGCCUCCUGUCUUAAUUUAGCUUUUUGUUGUUUUGAAGCAGUUCUGGUGCAUUUAUGAAAACGGGGCAAACGCAAAGUAAAGAAAACCCUCCCUCCAUUACCCACAUUGAACAAACAAGAAUAUGUCGGUUUAUUUUUAGUCUUAUGUGAAAUAUUUAAUUUUCUCACACUUGUGUUCACUAUGACAUAGUUUGCUCUCUGAUGUGAUAGCUCUCAAUGUUUAUGUCAUUCUGCUUUGGCAAACAUCUAGCUGCAUUGUUUUUCUUGUUAUUAGGUGUCUAGAUUGUAGCAGUUUUUGCUCUAUUAUAACUAUAAAGAAAAACAGAACAGUGUUUAGAAAAAACAAGGGGGCUGGCAGGUGGGGUGGCUCAGUGGGAAAAGAUGCCUGCCAAGAGGCCUGAGGCUAGGUUCAAUAUUCAAACCCCCUCUUAAAUUGUCUAAUGAUCUCUAUUCAUGCACACACAAAUAAGAUGUAAUAAAACUAUUUUUAAAAGAACCUAGGAUUUAUGUCAAUAAAGGCUUCUUCAUUUAUGGUGUAGCUAAGGAUAACUCACUUUUAUAUUUUUCUAGUUUUACCAAUCAGUAAUUUGGGGAUAGUAAUUCUCAUUGUAUAAAAAUGAAAUAAUGACCAAAAUGUCUAUAUUAAUAAAUAGUAGUUACUAAGUA